UUCUUCAAUGCUUUUCGUUUCCCUCCAUGAUUUUAAACUCCCCCUAAAUAAAAACCUAAAAAGAACUUUUGCCCAUCAAAACGCCAAACCCUAAAACCAGUUCAUCGUUCCAAGAACCUGAACCUGCUUCAUCUUUGCUGCCAUGCUUUCUCAACGAGAAUCGUGAGAGAUGGGUGAAGUGCGAGACGUGAGAGGUACAGAGGUUUGGCGGAAAUGUUUUGCAAAGAAAACAUUUUGUUCUCCCUUACGAGUGGGCUCUGCAGAAGGAAGGACUGCACGGUUGCCAUUACUGGUACUUUGUGGCAAUUGACAUUGGAGGAAGCAGAAGAGAAGAUGAAGAAUAAAAAGAAAACUACAUAUGGGUAUCAUGUUUCUGAUAAGGGAGAAGAGGAUGAAGACAAGGAAUCCAAAGGAAGAGUAGACUUGGACUUAAUAAAAGAGCUUGUGAUGUUGAUGAAGAAGGUCCAAGGGGAGAGGACCGUGAUCUAGAUGAGGACAAUGUUGAGAAGGUAGGAACGGACUGAAGAGCUUCAUUGAUAGAUUUAAAUUGGCCAGAGCCAUGUUGAGACACAACCACAUCGGGAUUUUCAGUUCCCAUCUUAAGAAGGCGUCGUUUUUCUUAAGUCACGUUCAAAAUAUCCAACGCAUUGCUGCUAAGCUCCAAAGAGGUAUUCAAAACCUUAGUCAUUGUUUAAUUUUGGCAUUUGGUUGUUAAGGGACAAUUUAAAAAAGGUAUAACUGAAAGGAUCUCCUUGAAUAAAGAACUUUGGUUCUAAUAUAAGUUUUUGAUUUGUAAGCUUGAUGUUUGUUGUUGUUUUGAAGUUAUAUAUAUCAACCUUGAUUUUUGGUUAAGUUCUAAAUUUUACACUAUCUGUCAUAUCUAUUAAUUUAAGUAAAUGAUUUUAUAAUAUUAGAACAUGUUGCUGUCAAGUUAUAAUUGGGUUCACUUAGUUAAUCUUGAAGUAGAUUAAUGAGUAUUUGAGGUUAAAGUUACAUUAGAUAGGAAUAGGGAAAUCAAAAUAAAGCAGAGUAUGAAUGUCUAUGUGAAUUGAACUAGUUACAUCUUUUAUACUUAUUGUACCAGCACAAUACAGUAGCUAAUAAUAGCUACUCUGUUAUGGAUUAUUACUAUUUGAGCUAAACUUUCAUAUUGUAAGUGUUAGGAAUUGAUACGUUGUAAUUUAGAUUUUGAAUUAAUGAUAAAAACUGAAGGUUCAGGGUGUUUAAAGUGGGAUAAAGAUUUUUGGAGACUGAUGA